AUACGCCAGUGAAGACUAUAGCUUCCACUCACUCCUUUCUGCCUCCUGGUGUUCACCCACGUGUCCCUGCAUGAUGUGGUGAGCCUCCUCCUACUUACAUUGGGAAAUUUGAUAUUGUGUCCAGAAUUGGUGGGUUCUUGGUCUCACUGACUUCAAGAAUGAAGCUGCGGACCCUCACGUGAUAAAGCUAUGUGACAUUUUAGAUACAUGGACAACAGAAAGAUGGAAUUGGACAAAGAAUGAAAAUGCAAGAAAUAAAUCAGCAAACAAAACACUGCACGUGAAAUUGGAAAGUGGUUGUAAUGGGAAGAAUGAAGAUGUCCCAAAGGAAGUAACACUGGCAAAAACUUUCACAUUAAAGAAACUUUUGGGGAAAUUUUACAAAUUUAAAUACAAAGGAUAAAACACUGGAAGCAAUCCAUACUUAGAAAGGAAUAUGACAAUUCACUAAAGCAAAGCAAGAUGCUUACUUCAUAUCAUAAAUUACAUGAUUUAUGUGCUAAGAAGCUGUUGUGAUUUUCAAGAAUCUCGAGGAAGCUCCCAAUAGCUAUCUCAUUCUGCCACAACAAAGCAGAUAUCUCUUAAGUGCUUACUAAGAAGCCCGUGUGACUUUCACAUCUGCCUAUGCACCUGUCUGCAACUACCCCAGAGUAUAAUAGACUGUUCUCUUCCACCUUUUAAAUCUCAUUCAUGCAAGUGCCUCUUACUGGAAUACUGUAAUCCAGAAUCAUUUCGGGGAGAGGAUUCUGGGAAACUGUUCACUGGCUUCUCUUCUGUGAUACAAAAAGAGGAUCUUAAAGCAGCUUGGUCAUUGUGGUAGGCAGAAAAAUUGCCUUCCAAAGAUGUUCGAUCCCUGCAACCUGUGAAUAUAUUACUUUAUAUGCAAACAGAAACUUCAGAGAUGGUAUUAAGUUUACUUUAAAAAUAGAGAAAACAUCCUGGAUUAUUCACAUGAUCCUAGUGUGAUCACAUGUGUCCUUAUUAAAACUGGAAGAGGGAGACAGAAGACUGAGUCAGAGAGAUGCAAGAAAAUUCAAAGUGUGAGAGGGACUCCUACCCACCAUUGCUGGUGUGAAAGAUGGAGAAAAGGGGCCAGAAGCCAAGGCAUGGAGGCAGCAUCUACAAGCUAGAUAUCACCUUCAUCUGACAGCCUCAAAGGAAACAGGAAUGCUAGUGCUACAGUUGCAACAACCUGAAUGUACAAUAAAACAAUUCUCGACCGGGCACAGUGGCUCAUGCUUGUAAUCCCGGCACUUUGGGAGGUCGAAGCAGGCGGAUCACCUGAGGUCGGGAGUUCGAGACCAGCCUGGCCAACAUGGAGAAACCCAUCUCUACUAAAAAUACAAAAUUAGCUGGGCGUGGUGGUGCACACCUGUAAUCCCAGCUACUCGGGAGUCUGAGGCAGGAGAAUUGCUUGAACCCAGGAGGCAGAGAUUGUGGUGAGCCAAAAUCUUGCCGUUGCAUUCCAGCCUGGGCAACAAGAGCAAAACUUCAUCUCAAAACAAAACAACAACAACAACAAAAAAAAACAAUUCUCACUUAGAGCCUUUAGAAAGGAACAGAGCUCUACUGACUCCUUGAUUUCUGCUUGGUGAGAAAUUCAUCUAACUUUUGCCCUAGAGAACUGAAGGAUAAUCAAUUUAUGUUGUUCAAGCCACUGAGUUUGUAGUAAUUUGCUACUGCAGCAAUGGGAAACUAAUACAAUGGUCAUGCUGAGUUCAUAACAGGCCUCUAGAAAUAACGAGGACAUAAGUGGAAGAAAGUCUAGCAGUAAGGAUUGAACCCAUUGAAAUGUAGGGCUACAAUUAAAAUACAUGUAGAGAUUAUGAGUACAAAUUUUAAAAAUAUAAAUUCUGUAAAUUCUGAUAAUAUAGAAAUUAAGUAAUUAAGGAAGAGAAGAACUAGAGGAAAAUGGCUAGCUUUUUCUAUGGUAGUAAGUUCAUCUUUCAUAACUGAGAUCAAACCAUCAUUGUAACUAGAUAAAAUAAUAUAAAAACUCAGAUACUUUUAAUGAUAAACAUUGGAGAAAUAAAAUAAUUAACCAAAAUUUGGGUAGUAGAGAAGUAGAAGGGAAAGGUGGAGAAAGUGGAAAUAUACUAAUUCCACCAUUGUUCAUUAUAAGCAAAGAAUACUAUCUAAAGGAGAGAGGAUUAAAUGUGUUUUUUAUAAUUAAAGCAAAACUAGCAGAUUAAAAAUAUAACCCUUCCCAAGCUUCAGAAGAAAUACAC